rnacentral:rRNA from 1 species
GACAGAGGUCUCGAGCGUUAGGCGGAAUCACUGGGCUUAAAGCGUGUGUAGGUGGAUUUCUAAGUGCCUUGUGAAAUCCCACGGCUUAACCGUGGAACUGCUGGGCAUACUGGGAGUCUUGAGCCAUCUAGGGGCGACUGGAACAAACGGUGGAGCGGUGAAAUGCGUAGAUAUCGUUUGGAACGCCAAAGGCGAAAGCAGGUCGCUGGGGAUGAGCUGACACUGAGACACGAAAGCCAGGGGAGCAAACGGG